rnacentral:rRNA from 1 species
AGUCGCGACAGGUCCACGAUGAGAACACCCGAUCCCGUCCGAUAUCGGAAGUUAAGCAUCGUCGGGCAGUGAUGGUACUUGGAUGGUGAGCAAUCCGUAACCUUAAUGGGUAAACUACUU